GUUUUUUUUUCCGGUUCCCUCUUCUUCUUCUCUUUUUUUCGGUUUUCUUCUCCCCUCUCUCUCUUUCUUUCUCUCUCUCUCUCUUUCUUGCUCUCACUGUCUCGCCAAAGCCCUAAAACUGCGGCCAGGGGAUCGUCGGUGAUAAGGAGUGGCCGGCGGUGGCCGGCGGUCAGAUCCUUACCAAAACUAGGGUUAGUAUUUUUUUUCUCUCUUAUUUACAAAAGCAGUUAAUCAAAACAUCAAUUUACCAGUUUAUUAGUAUUCUAUAACAGAUUUACUUCUUCUAAAUCAAGAAAUUUUAGAUUAAACAGGAGGAUAAAGUUAUACCUUAACUUAUUUGAACUUGGGGAUGCUGAUCAAUUUUCUUCUUUUCCUCUCCUAUUCCUCCGUUCUCUAACUGGCUUGGGUUACGAUUUGAAAAUGAGGGGAUGAGUUGAGAGGAAAGAAGGACGGAUGAAUAUGAGCUGAUAGGAUUUCAAGGUUUAUGUUUUCAUGGGUUUACAACAAUUGAACACCUCACUCAACCGUCCCUACUUCCAAUAAAAAGAAGCUAGCGAUCCUCUAAGAGAUGUAAACAGGACAGCUCAAGCUGUGGAAAAUUUGGUAGAUUUUGGUGACUCUUUUACUGUUGGGGACUUGGGGUUGAAGGGCUUAUAGGAUCCAAUGAGGAGCUUUCAACAUGAAAAUAGUGCUAUUAGCUUGUCGGCAGGAAUGUUAUCAAAAUCAUUGACAGCUCCAGAGUAGAAAAUGGUUAGCUGUCCCUUGGAGGAGCUCGUAUCUGAUGCAGGUAAUAAGUUUUGUCUGAUGAGAGGAAAUAUUUGGGAGAGAAGGAAAUAUUGGGAGAAGUACAGGGAGUUGUAUGGGAAUUGUUGCCAAAAUGAAAGCACAUAUAUCCAAAUACACUUAGAAAUUACUGAACCAUGCAUGCAUAUUUCUGUUAUGUUAUUUUUCUACCAACAUUUUUAGAGAUAUAAGCAAAUUCACUUACUAGUAAUUUCCUAAUACAAUCUUCUCAGAAAUAAGGUAAGAAUAUGAUCUUCAUUGGUCAGUGGCAUCUUCAAGUUCGACCUUAUAUUUCUAAACAAUAUCAUGUCAGCAGCCGCAAGAUUUGAAUGGAAAAAGUGGGCAGGCCCACAAAUUAAAUUUUUCGGCACCGUCCUAGGCAGAAUUUUGAA